rnacentral:rRNA from 1 species
AUUGAACGCUAGCGGCAUGCCUCACACAUGCAAGUCGAACGAGUGGCGGACGGGUGAGUAAUAUCUGGGAAACUGCCUGAUGGCGGGGGAUAACUACUGGAAACGGUAGCUAAUACCGCAUACCAUCGGAUGUGCCCAGAUGGGAUUAGCUAGUUGGUGGGGUAACGGCUCACCAAGGCGACGAUCCCUAGCUGGUCUGAGAGGAUGACCAGCCACACUGGAACUGAGACACGGUCCAGACUCCUACGGGAGGCAGCAGUGGGGAAUAUUGGACAAUGGGGGAAAGCCUGAUGCAGCCAUGCCGCGUGUAUGAAGAAGGCCUUCGGGUUGUAAAGUACUUUUAGCGGGGAGGCGGUAUCUGCAGAAGAAGCACCGGCUAACUCCGUGCCAGCAGCCGCGGUAAUAC